UAGAGAGCCUCCAUCUCCAUUCAUCUCCUCUAUCCCAUUGAAAUUUCCUCUUUCCCAUUGCCGAUAUGCUUAUGCUUAUCUUUCUACUUCUCUGAAAAUUGAAGCCCUAAUCAACGCUGUUGCUUCUCCCCUUAUAUUUUACUUCCUCCCCACAUUACUGGACUCACAGCUUAGUUAAUUCUUGAAAACUCUAUCAGCAACGGGAUCCUGUAAAUGGAAGAUUCGGGUCGUCGGAGAAAGCAUACGGGAUCCAUGGCGGUUCAUCGCCACAACAUUGAUUCAAAGAUCAAGAUACAUAGAUCGAUUAUAUUUUGAAGAGGAAAUUCAAUCUUCUGCACAUAAUCUACAAUCUUGUUCACGACAUUAUCGCAUUUGAUUGUUUCGUUUGUUAAACUUAAAACAAACACAAAUGAAGAUGUGGAUCUCGAAGAUUAAACGAUCUAUGGAAUCAAGUGUGUAAAGGUGAGAGUCCAAAUUAAGAUGCUAAUCCAAGAAGAGGGGAUAGCAAUGUGGUUUGGGCAACCAGUGAUGAUGAUACAGAGAUUGAAGUUGUUCGGUGUGAACAAGACAAUGAUCAGAUAGAUGUUAAAAAACAUAAAAGGAUGGUUUCGAACAGAGAUUCUGCUAGGCGGUCAAGAAAAAGAAAACAAGCACAUUUAACAUAUCUUGGGCAACAAGUGCCUACUUAUUAACAAUGUUUAUAUACAUAUAUCCUUAAAUUUCUAGAACUACACCAAAAUAUCUGUUAACCAAACAUGUGUUUCUGGUGGAACUACUGCAAGUAGAGUGUUCAGAUUUGUUCAACAACACACGAGUGCGAGCCAUCAGUUCAACGAUGCCUCAACAAACAACUGAGUGCUCAAGUCAGAAGUGGAAGCUCUGGGAGCUAAGGUGUUGUGUAUGAUGUUGCUUCAGUGUUAACAAGUAUUUACCAUUUGAGCCCAUUGAUGAAAUCACACGUUAUCUUCUGAAAUCACACGUUAUCUUCUUAGACUAGCUGAGGAAAAUAAAGGGUUGUCUUCUUAAAAUCUUGCCAGGCAACUGAUGAUAUAAACCUGAAAGCGCGCUUGUAGUUUAUGUAUUAAUUUUUUUUUUUCAAAAAUGCUUGAUUUUGAUGAUUUUUCAUGGUGUAUUUUCAAAAGGAAAGAUUUGAAGAGGAGAACAAAAGUAUAUUUUGGUUAUACCAAGGACAAACUUUUAAAGAUAAAAUGUUGGGUUUUUAAAUGGUUCUUUGCCGGUGGAAUUUGAUGGUAAAUGCAUAAUUUGGGAUUUGGGUUUGGGUUGGAUGAUGGCUUAAAGUUUGAAGAUGAAUGAUGUUGUUGCUGCUUGGAAGAUAGUUGCUGAUAGAGUUUUGAAGACUAAAGCUUUAUUCAGCAGUUACUUGGAAAUGAUGGGUACAUGGACAAGUCAAAUUGAGCAAAGAAAAGUUGCUAGAGUUGGAGACUAAUCAUCGAAAAAAAUCAUGUUAUCAGUUAUUUACCUUUAGCAAUAAUAUAUCACUUUGUUUGUAUUUAUUUUAUUUAUAUUAUAAACUUACAAUUAAUGUAAAUCAAAUUUUCCUACCCGGGAAGUCUCAUUAAUAAAGUAUUAAUAUCCUUAAAAUAGAGCGACCCGUGGGUACCCGGGUAAUAUAUAUUAUAUUGUUAUAUAUGAUACGUGUCAAUAUGUUAUAUUUUUUAUUAAUGUUUUCAUUUGUGUAUGCAGAUGGACAAUUGCAAAUCAAAAGUACAGUUUUAGGGUUUGUGAGAAUGCUCGCUGCCCGGGUUAUUGGUGCUCUAAUAAUUGUGACUGUUAAUGUAGAUGAUAGAAGGUUAUCUAUUGCAAAAGAGGUUGGUACACAUGAUAUCAUCAAAGCCUCCACAACUUAUAUUUGUACGCUCAAGCUACACCAUAGAGUUUCUUUUAAAGCUAAUCCCCACCCUGAUGAGAAAGAAAGAUUGGCUCUGGGAAAGAAACUGAACUGGGAAAACAAGCAAGUCAAGUUUUGGUUUCAGAAUAUAACACAAAUGAAGACUCAACUCGAGCCCCGUGAAACGCAAUAUUGAAACAAGAAAAUUAUAAGCUACGGAUC